rnacentral:rRNA from 1 species
GACGUAGGGGGCGAGCGUUGUCCGGAAUUACUGGGCGUAAAGAGCACGUAGGCGGGAACUUAAGUCAGGUGUGAAAGACCGGGGCUCAACCUCGGGGUGGCACUUGAAACUGGGUUUCUUGAGGGCAGGAGAGGAAAGUAGAAUUCCUGGUGUAGCGGUGAAAUGCGUAGAAAUCAGGAGGAAUACCAGUGGCGAAGGCGACUUUCUGGACUGACCCUGACGCUGAGGUGCGAAAGCGUGGGUAG